AUGCAGUCGAGCGCGUAUCAUACGAGCGGCAGACGGGUGAGUAACACGUGGGAACAUACCCUUUACUACGGAAUAACGCAGGGAAACUUGUGCUAAUACCGUAUGUGCCCUUAGGGGGAAAGAUUUAUCGGGAAAGGAUCGGCCCGCGUUGGAUUAGCUAGUUGGUGGGGUAAAGGCCUACCAAGGCGACGAUCCAUAGCUGGUCUGAGAGGAUGAUCAGCCACAUUGGGACUGAGACACGGCCCAAACUCCUACGGGAGGCAGCAGUGGGGAAUAUUGGACAAUGGGCGCAAGCCUGAUCCAGCCAUGCCGCGUGAGUGAUGAAGGCCCUAGGGUUGUAAAGCUCUUUCACCGGGGAAGAUAAUGACGGUAUCCGGAGAAGAAGCCCCGGCUAACUUCGUGCCAGCAGCCGCGGUAAUACGAAGGGGGCUAGCGUUGUUCGGAAUUACUGGGCGUAAAGCGCACGUAGGCGGACAUUUAAGUCAGGGGUGAAAUCCCGGGGCUCAACCCCGGAACUGCCUUUGAUACUGGGUGUCUUGAGUGUGGAAGAGGUCAGUGGAAUUGCGAGUGUAGAGGUGAAAUUCGUAGAUAUUCGCAGGAACACCAGUGGCGAAAGCGGCUGACUGGUCCAUUACUGACGCUGAGGUGCGAAAGCGUGUGGAGCAAACAGGAUUAGAUACCCUGGUAGUCCACGCCGUAAACGAUGAAUGUUAGCCGUCGGCAAGUUUACUGGUCGGUGGCGCAGCUAACGCAUUAAACAUUCCGCCUGGGGAGUACGGUCGCAAGAUUAAAACUCAAGGAAUUGACGGGGGCCCGCACAAGCGGUGGAGCAUGUGGUUUAAUUCGAAGCAACGCGCAGAACCUUACCAGCCCUUGACAUCCUGUGACCGGUACAGAGAUUUACCUUUCCCUUCGGGGACGCGACACAGGUGCUGCAUGGCUGUCGUCACCUCGUGUCGUGAGAUGUUGGGUUAAGUCCCGCAACGAGCGCAACCCUCGCCCUUAUUUGCCAGCAUUUGGUUGGGCACUCUAAGGGGACUGCCGGUGAUAAGCCCACAGGAAGGUGGGGAUGACGUCAAGUCCUCAUGGCCCUUACCGGCUGGGCUACACACCUGCUACAAUGAUGGUGACAGUGGGC
rnacentral:rRNA from 1 species